rnacentral:lncRNA from 10 species
GCCUCUCAUAGAAUGUAACUUUGGUCAUAACAAACCCAGUCUUAUUACUGAAAUAAGUUGAAGCCUUCUAAACAAGUAGGCUUAGAACCUCUUUUCCACAGGAAAUGCCUGAUCACUGGAAUUUUGUAGCUAGAAGGUAUUCCUGAGCUCAGAGAUGCCACAUACUAUUAAAAUUAUUGGUAAUUUCCUCUUGCUUGGGCACUCAAGCUCUCUACCAUUGCAGGAAUUCAUGAGCUGACUCCUUUAUUUCAGGUGCUUCCAAACAAAACUGACAAGCAACACCCAGUUGCCUACAUUUUAGUUUGCAUUCAUCUCCACUGGGUGUAGGGUACUAGGAGCAUGCAGCACAAUUGUGCUUCUCUUCCAGCUGGAGUCUGUAGACUGAGCCAGGCCACCUUGUUUAGGCUCUAGUGCCUGACAAAGAGCUCAGUGGGCUGGAAGCCUAGUGCAGUUAACACUGAUGGCUUUGUAGCUUGGACAGGUGAAAGUCAGCAAGCUUCCCAGUAGACCAAUUGAUCUGAGUUGCCUCUCUGGCCAGAAGCCAGCCCUGGCAGGGAUCCAACUUCCUCUCAAGCACUGAGAAAGGGCUCAGGUGUAUCUGGUGGCCGGCAGAGCAGGUAGUCAGCCAAGGCUUCAUAGUUCUCACCCACGGCAAUUCAGCUAGCAAACUAGAGACACUUCCCCAAGAAGACACAGCGUGGCAAGACUGCUGAGACGCAUAAAGAAAUCUUAGCUGGAAUGCCUUCUCAGAAUCUUGAUUUUCAAAGUGAUGGAUUGGGAGAUCCCAAGCCAUGAAUAAAGGGUGCUCAUCACAGAUGGAACAAUGGCGAGAGCACACCUGGACAGGGGAGGGGCAGGAGUUCUGAUUCCUGACACAGGUUUCCUGGUUGAAUGUUCUGUUGUAGAAGAAUGCAACUGAGUUUUCUAAACAGAUCUUCUUCUUGACAUCCUUGCUGAACGAGAGCAAAGGAGACAGCUGGGAGCAGAUGGGCAAAUCCCAGUUUGCCCAAAGAAAUGUCUAUUUUCCAAGGGGCAUGAAGAAUUUAGGAAUAAAGCAGAUCUGAUUUCUAAUUCUGACUUUGCUACUGGCAAAUUGUGUGGACUCAGGAAAGUGACCGGCCCUCUUUAAGACUCAGUGUGCUUACCUCUGAAAUGGAGCUGUCAAUCACAUCUGCCUCACAGGCUUGUUCUGAGGAUGAAGUGAGAAAAUGCCCACGAGGUGCUGGUUGCAGCAGCUGGUGCAUAGAGCUUAAAAAGGAUGCAGUCCCAAAACAUAGAAGGAUUUACUCCAGAUCCAAGCAAUGAGUCAGGAACAGAAAGCCUGAUGCCCUCACCUGGAACUCUCCCUCCUCCCUGGAUGAGGACCUUCCCCAGAAUUGCAGGGCACCCACACAAGACCAAGCAAGUUCAGAGAAAAUUGAAACCUGACUUUAGAGCCUCUGGGAUGUUCACUACACCUCAUUGAACCUGUUUGGUUCACAGAGCUCCAACUACCGUCUACUUCCUGCAACUGGCCUGCUGCCAACUCCCCAGAUCUCUUGUGGAGCUGCCGGAAGAGACAGCCUGCCACAGAAGAAAGCAGCCCUCCUCUUUCAUGGCCUCCCACAUCUUGAAACAAACACAAGCAAACAAAACAAAAGCUUGAGUCCCAGCCUGAUUCACCAGGUUUGGUUCCCAAUUGUUGAAAUUCCCUUCCCAGGGCUCUCAGAACCAGGGUUGGCUGGAGGGGUGAAAGAGGCUGGCCCUGAGCCCAGUAAUAGGACACCAAGGGGGAGCUAAAAGCUGGGAUCUGGGGUGAAGAUGGGGUCUUCCAAGCUGGGAGGCAGACACCAGGCCAGAGCAACCGGCCUGCCCCAGCUCAGGCCUCUUAACCCAUGCAGGGCAAGAGUAUAAACAGAGGCCACGGACCACAUGCCUCAGUAUUUAAACUUAUAAAUCAAGCUAACAUAACAUGAAAUCAAAUAUGUUCUAUCCUCCUAGCUUGACAAAUACUUUCAUAACGAGAUGGAAUGCCAGGUUCAGAUUUAGAAUUUUCACACUCCUUAAAGUUCCAAGUCAAAAUACAGCAUUAGGGGAGGGCCCCCAACCUCGAGGUCUCCCCUCCCCCAUUUUCUUUCACUCCCAGCUCUGUCUCACACCACGAGGGAUCUUGGGUGAAUGCCCCUCGAUACCCCAGCCCCCCACAAACAGCUGCCCUUUCCCCCCUUGGCCAAGGGUAAGCACAGCAGCAGGGCAGUCUGCCCUUGGCUGGAGAGAUGGAAGGAGAGGCCACACGGGCCCUGAAAAUGCAUUUGGGGACUCUUGGGCAGGAAACUUGGGAGUUUCUGGAGCCUCAAGGAGGGUCUAGUGGGACAGAGCCACUUGGGCCCAUGAGAUCCUUGACCCAUGGAGAAGGGUAGGGCUAGAGGAGGGCCAGGGCAGGCCCUAUGAACAGAAGAACCUAGAGUAACUGCCCUGUCCCCAGAUCCUGUCACCGAGCAGGUAUACUUGGGAGGGUAUUGGAGGGUGGAACCCAAGGGAGCUUGCCCAAGGCACUAGGAAAGAAAAGUGUAAACCUUGUUAGAGAAUGCUAAGGAUAGCUGUUAAAGCCUCAGAGAUUUUACUCAUUUUUGGCUGUUUCUAAAAAUCUUCCCCCAAAGGAAGAUCUUGCUCUCAUUGAGGAUCUGAGAAAGAAUUCUCUCCAAGUAGUUUCAAAACAUUCUGAUGUAAAAACUCUGGUGUGUUAGUCAAAAAUAAAUUUUGUUGCUUGAUGGCUUCACCAUUCACAAAAUAUUCUAUCCAUCCAAUUUAAAAAUAAGAGCAGGGUAUUUAAAACUCUUUCAAUAAACACAAAUUAAAACAAUGAAGCUUG